rnacentral:rRNA from 1 species
GAUCCUGGCUCAGAAUGAACGCUGGCGGCGUGCUUAACACAUGCAAGUCGAACGGGAAAGGUGCUUUCGGGCACCGAGUAGAGUGGCGCACGGGUGAGUAACGCGUAGGUAACCUGCCCCCGUGUAUGGGAUAACACCUCGAAAGGGGUGCUAAUACCGUAUGCGACUCCUCUCCGAAAGGGGUGGAGUGAAAGAGGGCCUCUGCAAGCAAGCUCUUGCACGGGGAGGGACCUGCGUCCUAUCAGCUUGUUGGUAGGGUAGCGGCCUACCAAGGCAACGACGGGUAGCUGGUCUGAGAGGAUGACCAGCCACACUGGCACUGGAACACGGGCCAGACUCCUACGGGAGGCAGCAGUGAGGAAUUUUGCGCAAUGGGGGAAACCCUGACGCAGCAACGCCGCGUGGGUGAUGAAGGCCUUCGGGUCGUAAAGCCCUGUCGGGUGGGAAGAACGCCCUUAGAGUAGAAUAUGCUUUGGGGGGUGACGGUACCACCAGAGGAAGCACCGGCUAACUCCGUGCCAGCAGCCGCGGUAA